AGCUCCAAUAGCGUAUAUUAAAGUUGUUGCAGUUAAAACGCUCGUAGUUGGAUUUUGGGAUGUGACGGAUCUGGCCCUCCUUGAUGGUGCGUGCUGGUCUGUCCAUUCUUCCUACUGGAUACUCGCCUCUUCCCUUAAGUGGGUUGGGGUCAGCCUUCGGGCGGAGUUCCAGUUCGAUUACCGUGAACAAAUUAGAGUGUUCAAAGCAGGCAGUGAUGCCUUGAAUAUACCAGCACGGGAUAAUGGAAUAGGACUUGGGUUCUAUUUUGUUGGUUUCUAGAAUCGAAGUAAUGAUUAAUAGGGACAGUUGGGGGCAUUCGUAUUUCAAUGUCAGAGGUGAAAUUCUUGGAUUUUUGGAAGACGAACUUCUGCGAAAGCAUUUGUCAAGGAUGUUUUCAUU
rnacentral:rRNA from 1 species